AAAGGUAUUCAGUAAAAAGUAUCCCUAAAAACUGAAAGUAAAAUUAUGUACAGAUUUGGAGCAAUAACUAGAGAGGAACUAUUUCAAGUGACUUAAAAGACAAUUGUUAGAAGCAGGGUUUCUUAACCUCAGCAUGACUGACAUUUUGAGCCAGAUAAUUAUUUGUGGGGAGUGGGGGUGGGGACAGGGCAGUUGUCCUGUGCAUCAUGCGACGUUAGCAGCAUCCAAGGCUCAGCGAGCUUCUAUAAUUGGCAACAACUGGCACAUACUGCCAUACAUCAUUGCUGGGAGGAUUAAGUGCUGUCUGUGCGACACCACUGGGGGAGUGUUUUAAAAUAUAGGUUUUAGGUGGCCCGACGUGGUGGCUCAUGCCUGUAAUCCCAGCACUAUGGAAGGCCAAGGUGGGAAGAUCAUUUGAGCUCAAGCAUUCGAGACUAGCCUGGGCAACACAGCAAGACACCCGUCUCCAAAAAAGAAUUGGCUAGCCUUGGGAGGAACAAUCUCUCCACCGAGUGAGCAAGGCCCCUCCCAUGUCAAAGAAUCAAACACGCACGGUUCAUAUUGAGGGUACAACUGGAAGCUUGUGCUUGUUUUCUGCUGGACUUCGCUCACGCACCUUCUCCGUUUGCUGAUUUUAAUCUGUAUCCUUUCACUAAAAUAAACAGGAAUGAUGUGUAUAGCAGCUUUUCAGAGUUCUGUGAAUCUAUCUUGUGAAUCAUCAAGCAUGAGGGUGGUCUCAGGGACCCCUGACACGGCUGCUAGAACCAUCAGGUGGAAGGUUAGUGGGGUACUUUAUAAUGGAAAAGACCAGACUGACACCACAGACCCCAUUGCUCAGUCACAGCGUGUGGAACCACCAGAUGUCACGUUCCUCUCCAUAUGAUGCAAAACAAAGAUGCAGAGUCACUCAGGAAGUACUUAUGUCAGAUCAACCGCACCUGAAUCUAAUCAAGGCUCUUUGUGUAACUGCACAUUUUUAGGAAAUACUGGGGAGACAGGAACCUUUAAACAACACUGGGAGGAAAUGAGCAGUGAAAUACAAAAUGUGGGAAAUUCUACAGGACAAAAAACCCACCUUUCAACACAGAAAAAAGGGUAACUGUUACAGAUUUAAAGAGACAAAAGACCCCAUCAAUCAAAUGCACAGUGUGGCUCUUAUUUAGAUCUUAAUUUGAACAAAUAAACAGUCAAAAUACAUUUUUGAGACAACAUGGGAAAACUGAGCAGACUACAUAUUAGAUAUUAAGGAUAUUAAUUCUGUUGGGUGAAAUACGAUGGUUAGGAUUUGCUUUAAAUGGUCAAAGAAAAAAAUAUUGGCGGGGACGAGGCAAUAGAUCAAACAAGAGCAGCAAUAAAGCUGACGUUUGCUAAGUUUGAGUGGUGGUUCAGGGAGUCCACUGUGCUAGUCUAUAUUUGUGACUAAAAAUUUCCAUAACAAGUUCAAAAAAGAAAAUGUAUUUAAAAAUUAGAAGCAGUUAUCAGCCAAAUAUAGGUUAAGAAACAUUAGUAAAAUAAAAAUCCUUUCACUUGCCGUUAAAAAUAAAAAACAGUAAAAACACAUUUUAUAAAUAUAUGAAAUCUGAGAGCCUGCCAAGAUUGCAGAGAUGUGAUUGUAAGGCACAGAUGAGAUUUUAAACCUGGGUUUUUAGAGAUUAAAAUAAAAUGUAGGAUGGUUUAAGCACCUACUUUUAGCUCUUGAGAAAACAGGUACAGUCCAAAGUGAAGCUGCCUUUAGUCUCUAGCCUUCAUGUUUUUUUUCUAGUCUCUAUUCUGAAGUCUAAAUUUGUUGGUUUUUUUGGGGGGUGAAAAUUUAACAUAAAAUUUAGGCAUAAAAAACAUUAUCCUUUUACGUUUUAAUAUAAGUCUUUAUCCUUUAAACUAAGAUCUCAUAAGAGAGAGACGCAUCAUCCUUUAGAUAAAAGCUCCCGACAGCCCAGGUGUCCCAGCUGCUGUCAUAAUGUAAGAUUUGGGGCCAGGCAAAAGAAACUGAUUAAAGCAGAAUACUGGAGAUCCUGGCCUUCAAGUAGUGAUAUUUUUGCUUUUUUUUUUUUUGAGACGGAGUUUCACUCUUAUUGCCCAGGCUGGAGUGCAAUGGCACAAUCUUGGCUCACCACAACCUCCGCCUCCUGGGUUCAAGCGAUUUUCCUGCCUCAGUCUCCCGAGUAGCUGGGAUUACAGGCAUGUACAACCACGCCCAGCUAAUUUUGUAUUUUUAGUAGAGACGGGGUUUCUCCAUGUUGGUCAUUGCCUUUUUUUUUUUUUUUUUCUUUGAGACAGAGUCUCACUUUGUUGCCCAGGUUUGAGUGCAGUGGUGCGAUCUCAGCUCACUGAAACCUCCGCCUCCCAGGUUCAAGCGAUUCUCGUGCCUCAGUCCCCCAAGUAGCUGGGACUACAGGCAUGCGCCACCACGCCCAGCU
rnacentral:lncRNA from 1 species